CAGUAGCCGCGGAAUACGAAGGGUGCAAGCGUUACUCGGAAUUACUGGGCGUAAAGCGUGCGUAGGUGGUGGUUUAAGUCCGUUGUGAAAGCCCUGGGCUCAACCUGGGAAUUGCAGUGGAUACUGGGUCACUAGAGUGUGGUAGAGGAUAGUGGAAUUUCCGGUGUAGCAGUGAAAUGCGUAGAGAUCGGAAGGAACAUCUGUGGCGAAGGCGACUAUCUGGGCCAACACUGACACUGAGGCACGAAAGCGUGGGGAGCAAACAGGAUUAGAUACCCGAGUAGUCCCUGUCUCUUAUACU
rnacentral:rRNA from 1 species